rnacentral:rRNA from 9 species
CGGUGGUGACGCAGGAAGGUGCGGAGGACGUCAAGCCUUCCUUCUCCGACCCCUCAGGGCUGUCAAACACGUACACGUACACGAUGGAGAGGUCA